UACGGAGGGUGCAAGCGUUACUCGGAAUUACUGGGCGUAAAGGGCUCGUAGGCGGCCAACUAAGUCAGACGUGAAAUCCCUCAGCUUAACUGGGGAACUGCGUCUGAUACUGGAUGGCUUGGAUUCGGGAGAGGAAUGCGGAAUUCCAGGUGUAGCGGUGAAAUGCGUAGAUAUCUGGAGGAACACCGGUGGCGAAGGCGGCGUUCUGGACUGCAACUGACACUGAUGAACGAAAGCCAGGGGAGCAAACGGG
rnacentral:rRNA from 1 species